CAGUAGCCACGGUAAAACGAAGGGGGCUAGCGUUGCUCGGAAUUACUGGGCGUAAAGGGCGCGUAGGCGGAUGUUUAAGUCAGAGGUGAAAGCCCAGGGCUCAACCUUGGAACUGCCUUUGAUACUGGACAUCUUGAGUAUGGGAGAGGUGAGUGGAACUCCGAGUGUAGAGGUGAAAUCCGUAGAUAUUCGGAAGAACACCAGUGGCGAAGGCGACUCACUGGCCCAUUACUGACGCUGAGGCGCGAAAGCGUGGGGAGCAAACAGGAUUAGAUACCCCCGUAGUCUCUGUCUCUUAUCC
rnacentral:rRNA from 1 species